AUUAGCUAGUUGGUGGGGGUCAAGGCCUACCAAGGGCAACGGAUGGGUAGCUGGUCUGAGAGGACGAUCAGCCACACUGGGACUGAGACACGGCCCAGACUCCUACGGGAGGCAGCAGUGGGGAAUCUUGCGCAAUGCGCGAAAGCGUGACGCAGCAACACCGCGUGAGGGAAGACGGCCUUAGGGUUGUAAACCUCUUUCAGAUGGGACGAAGGUGAUGCGGUGAAUAGCCGAUGUCAUUGACGGUACCGUCAGAAGAAGCUCCGGCUAACUACGUGCCAGCAGCCGCGGUAAUACGUAGGGAGCGAGCGUUGUCCGGAAUCAUUGGGCGUAAAGAGCAUGUAGGUGGAUCAAUUAGUCUGCUGUGAAAGUCAAAGGCUCAACCUUUGAAAGCCGGUGGAUACUGUUGGUCUAGAGUACGGAAGAGGCGAGUGGAAUUCCUGGUGUAGCGGUGGAAUGCGCAGAUAUCAGGAGGAACACCAAUAGCGAAG
rnacentral:rRNA from 1 species